rnacentral:sRNA from 1 species
GAGGCGGGGCCAGGACGGCGGGACCGGCCGCUGAGUCCCAGCGAGGGCUGAGCCGGGCGGUGGGAGGAGGUCAGGAUGGUGGGGGAAUGGCAUGCUGGGGACCUCAUGGUGCCCUUAGGGCCUCGGCUGCAGGCAUAUCCUGAAGAACUCAUUCGACAGAGGCCUGGGCAUGACGGGCAUCCUGAAUACCUGAUCCGAUGGAGUGUCCUGAAGUGUGGGGAAGAGGGCAAAGUGGGUGUAGAAGAAGGCAAAGCAGAGCACAUCCUCAUGUGGCUGUCGGCUCCUGAGGUCUAUGCCAACUGCCCUGGGCUGUUAGGUGAGCGGGCGCUAUCUAAGGGACCUCAGCACGAACCAGCUGGGGUUUCAGGAAGCUUUCCUCGAGAUCCAGGAGGCCUGGAUGAAGUGGCAAUGGGAGAGAUGGAGGCUGAUGUUCAGGCGCUGGUACGCAGGGCGGCCAGGCAGCUGGCAGAAAGUGGGACCCCAAGCCUCACGGCCGCUGUGCUCCACACCAUCCAUGUGCUCAGUGCCUACGCCAGCAUCGGGCCCCUCACUGGUGUCUUCAGGGAGACAGGAGCCCUGGACCUGCUCAUGCACAUGUUGUGCAAUCCUGAGCCUCAGAUCCGCCGGAGUGCAGGCAAAAUGCUGCAGGCUCUGGCAGCCCACGAUGCUGGGAGUCGGGCUCACGUCCUUCUAUCACUGAGCCAGCAAGAUGGCAUCGAGCAGCACAUGGAUUUUGACAGUCGCUAUACAUUGCUGGAGCUGUUUGCAGAAACCACAUCCUCUGAAGAACACUGCAUGGCCUUUGAGGGCAUUCAUCUGCCUCAGAUCCCAGGAAAGCUGCUUUUCUCCUUGGUGAAGCGCUACCUUUGUGUCACCUCCCUCCUGGAUCAGCUGAAUAGCAGUCCAGAGCUGGGAGCUGGAGACCAAAGCUCCCCAUGUGCCACAAGAGAGAAAAGCCGGGGACAGCGGGAGCUGGAGUUCAGCAUGGCUGUGGGCAACCUCAUCUCUGAACUUGUGCGGAGCAUGGGCUGGGCCCGGAACCUCAGCGAACAGGGCAUGUCACCUCCCCGGCCAACCCGGUCCAUCUUUCAGCCCUACAUUUCAGGCCCCAGCCUUUUACGCCCCACCAUUGUCACCACCCCCAGAAGACAAGGGUGGGUCUUCCGCCAGCGCUCUGAAUUCUCCAGCCGUAGUGGCUAUGGAGAAUAUGUGCAGCAGACGCUGCAGCCGGGGAUGCGAGUGCGGAUGCUGGAUGAUUAUGAGGAGAUCAGUGCUGGGGAUGAGGGCGAGUUCCGGCAGAGCAACAAUGGCAUUCCCCCUGUGCAGGUUUUCUGGCAGUCGACAGGCCGCACUUACUGGGUGCACUGGCACAUGCUGGAGAUCCUGGGCCCUGAGGAAGCCACUGAGGAUAAGGCUUCAGCAGCUGUGGAGAAGGGGGCAGGGGCUACUGUGUUGGGCACAGCAUUUCCCUCUUGGGACUGGAAUCCUGUGGAUGGGCUGUACCCUUUGCCGUACCUCCAGCCCGAACCUCAGAAGAAUGAGAGAGUGGGAUAUCUGACCCAGGCUGAAUGGUGGGAGCUGCUUUUCUUUAUCAAAAAGUUGGACUUGUGUGAGCAGCAGCCAAUUUUCCAGAAUAUUUGGAAGAACCUGGAUGAGACCCUGGGUGAAAAGGCCUUAGGUGAGAUCUCUGUGUCCGUGGAAAUGGCUGAGAGUCUGCUGCAGGUUCUCAGUAGUCGAUUUGAGGGCAGCACUCUCAAUGACCUGCUCAACUCCCAGAUCUACACCAAGUAUGGGCUGCUGUCUAAUGAACCAAGCAGCUCGUUUACUUCACGAAAUCACUCCUGUACCCCAGAUCCAGAAGAGGAGUCCAAGUCGGAGGCCAGCGUCUCAGAGGAAGAGACUGAGUCCCCCAAAGCAAAGGCCGAGGCCCCUAAGACAGAGGCCGAGCCCACCAAGACAAGGACUGAGCCCCCAAUGGCACAGAGUGAUUCUCAGCUGUUUAACCAGCUUCUAGUGACUGAGGGGAUGACCCUGCCCACUGAGAUGAAGGAGGCAGCCAGUGAAAUGGCCAGAGCCUUGCGGGGUCCCGGUCCUCGCAGCUCCCUGGAUCAGCAUGUGGCAGCGGUCGUGGCCACUGUGCAGAUAUCCAGCUUGGACACAAACCUGCAGCUUUCAGGGCUCUCUGCCCUCUCUCAGGCUGUGGAGGAGGUCACUGAGCGGGACCACCCUCUGGUCCAUCCUGACAGAUCGCUGAGAGAGAAGCUAGUGAAGAUGCUGGUGGAGCUGCUGACCAACCAGGUGGGAGAGAAGAUGGUGGUGGUGCAGGCCCUGCGCCUCCUUUACCUGCUCAUGACCAAGCACGAGUGGCGGCCGCUCUUUGCCAGGGAGGGUGGCAUCUAUGCUGUGCUGGUCUGUAUGCAAGAAUAUAAGACUUCUGUCUUGGUGCAGCAGGCUGGGCUGGCGGCACUGAAGAUGCUGGCCGUCGCCACCUCCUCGGAGAUCCCCACUUUUGUUACUGGCCGAGAUUCUAUCCACUCUUUGUUUGAUGCUCAGAUGACCAGAGAGAUCUUCGCCAGCAUCGACUCAGCCACACGCCCGGGCUCUGAGAGCCUGCUCCUCACUGUCCCUGCAGCCGUGAUCCUGAUGCUGAACACUGAGGGGUCAGGGCAUUACCCUCCCAACUCCAGGCUCCUGCUUAGUCCCAAACCCUGCUACUCCUGUGCUCCAGGCUCAUGUCCUCCACAGAAAUUCCCCUCACAUUGUCACCUCCGGAUUAAGCAUUGGUGGCCCUGCCAACUGUUGUUGGAAGAGAACCCAAGUGGAUUGGGGAUAGGGAGAUUCCCAGAGAGGGCAGAGACACACUGACCUCCCUUUAUGGGUUUGGGAGGAGUGGCCCGAGGUCAGGGGAUCAGAUGUCCUGGCUCAGAGGGCCCACUGGAGCCCUUUGCUCCCUAGCUGCCUGGCCUUCUGUGCUUGCUUUGCUGCUUCCAUUGCAUUCAUGGUCUCUCAGUUUCUUCCUGGUCACCUCCCUUCUCCCAGGUGCUCUUCUGCAGCGAGAAAUGGCUUACUCCUGCUCAACCUGCUUUUGUGCAACCACCACACUCUGGGAGACCAGAUUAUAACCCGAGAGCUGAGAGACACGUUGUUUAGGCACUCAGGGAUAGCACCAGGAACAGAACCUAUGCCAACCACACGCACCAUCCUCAUGAUGCUUCUCAAUCGCUACUCAGAGCCGCCGGGCAGCCCUGAGUGUGCAGCACUAGAGACCCCCAUCAUCCAGGGUCAGGAUGGGUCCCCUGAGCUACUGAUUCGAUCCCUGGUUGGGGGCCCAUCUGCAGAACUACUCCUGGACUUGGAGCGUGUGCUGUGCCAUGAGGGCAGCCCCGGAGGUGCCGUGAGGCCCCUCCUCAAGCGCCUCCAGCAGGAGACCCAGCCUUUCCUCCUGUUGCUGCGGACUCUGGAUGCUCCGGGGCCCAACAAGACUCUGCUGCUGUCUGUGCUGAGGGUCAUAACCCGACUGCUGGAUUUCCCUGAGACAAUGGUCCUCCCCUGGCACGAGGUCUUGGAGCCCUGCCUCAACUGCCUGAGUGGCCCUAGCAGUGAUUCUGAGAUUGUUCAGGAGCUGACCUGCUUCCUACAUCGCCUGGCCUCGAUGCAUAAGGACUAUGCUGUGGUGCUCUGCUGCCUGGGAGCAAAAGAGAUCCUCUCCAAAGUCCUGGACAAGCACUCAGCUCAGCUGCUGCUGGGCUGUGAGCUUCGGGACCUGGUGACAGAGUGUGAGAAGUAUGCACAGCUCUAUAGCAACCUCACCUCCAGCAUCCUGGCUGGCUGCAUUCAGAUGGUGCUGGGCCAGAUCGAAGACCACAGACGAACCCACCAACCCAUCAAUAUCCCCUUCUUUGAUGUGUUCCUCAGGCAUCUCUGCCAGGGCUCCAGUGUGGAAGUGAAGGAGGACAAGUGCUGGGAGAAGGUGGAGGUGUCCUCCAACCCGCACCGGGCCAGCAAGCUGACGGACCACAACCCCAAGACCUACUGGGAGUCCAACGGCAGCACCGGCUCCCACUACAUCACCCUGCACAUGCACCGUGGUGUUCUUGUUAGGCAGCUCACUUUGCUGGUGGCCAGUGAGGACUCAAGCUACAUGCCAGCCAGGGUGGUGGUGUUUGGGGGUGACAGCACCAGCUGCAUCAGCACUGAGCUCAACACGGUGAAUGUGAUGCCCUCUGCCAGCCGGGUGAUCCUCUUGGAGAACCUGAACCGCUUCUGGCCCAUCAUCCAGAUCCGCAUAAAGCGCUGCCAGCAGGGCGGCAUUGACACCCGGGUUCGGGGUGUGGAGGUCCUGGGCCCUAAGCCCACAUUCUGGCCACUGUUCCGGGAGCAGCUGUGUCGCCGAACAUGUCUCUUCUACACAAUUCGGGCACAAGCCUGGAGCCGGGACAUAGCAGAGGACCGCCGGCGCCUCCUCCAGCUCUGUCCCAGACUGAACAGGGUUUUGCGCCACGAGCAGAAUUUUGCUGACCGCUUCCUCCCUGAUGAUGAGGCCGCCCAGGCACUGGGCAAGACCUGCUGGGAGGCCCUGGUCAGCCCCCUGGUACAGAACAUCACCUCUCCUGAUGCAGAAGGCGUGAGUGCCCUGGGAUGGCUGCUGGAUCAGUACUUAGAACAGAGAGAGACCUCUCGGAACCCCUUGAGUCGAGCAGCGUCUUUUGCUUCUCGAGUUCGUCGCCUUUGCCACUUGCUGGUGCAUGUGGAGCCUCCUCCUGGGCCUUCUCCUGAGCCAUCCACUCGGCCCUUCAGCAAGAACAGUAAGGGUCGGGACCGGAGCCCGGUGCCUUCGCCAGUGCUUCCAAGCAGCAGCCUGAGGAACAUAACCCAGUGCUGGCUGAGCGUGGUGCAGGAGCAGGUGGGCAGAAGCAAGCAGAAGUCUGCAGAGGGGAGGGGCUGCUCCUUUUAUGUCAUUUCUUGCCUUUCUCCUCAGGUCGGCAGAUUCCUGGCUGCAGCUUGGAGGGCCCCAGACUUUGUGCCUCGUUACUGUAAACUCUAUGAGCACUUGCAGAGAGCAGGCUCCGAGCUGUUUGGGCCUCGGGCAGCCUUCACGCUGGCUCUGCGCAGUGGCUUCUCUGGUGCCUUGCUGCAGCAGUCCUUCCUCACUGCUGCUCACAUGAGUGAGCAGUUUGCCAGGUACAUUGACCAACAGAUCCAGGGUGGCCUGAUUGGUGGAGCCCCUGGAGUGGAAAUGCUGGGACAGCUUCAGCGGCACCUGGAACCCAUUAUGGUCCUUUCUGGUCUGGAACUGGCCACAACUUUUGAGCACUUCUAUCAGCAUUAUAUGGCGGACCGUCUCCUGAGCUUUGGUUCGAGCUGGCUGGAGGGGGCUGUGCUAGAGCAGAUUGGCCUCUGUUUUCCCAACCGCCUCCCCCAGCUGAUGCUGCAGAGCCUGAGCACCUCUGAGGAGCUGCAGCGCCAGUUCCACCUCUUCCAGCUCCAGCGGCUCGACAAGUUGUUCUUGGAGCAGGAAGAUGAGGAGGAAAAGAGACUAGAGGAAGAGGAGGAGGAAGAGGAGGAAGAGGAAGCUGAGAAAGAAUUAUUUAUCGAAGAUCCAAGUCCAGCCAUUUCUAUACUGGUCCUGUCACCACGCUGCUGGCCGGUCUCCCCACUCUGCUACCUGCACCAUCCCAGAAAGUGCCUUCCCACAGAAUUCUGUGAUGCCCUUGGCCGUUUCUCCAGUUUCUACAGCCACAGUCAGAACCAUCCAGUCCUGGACAUGGGACCACAUCGGCGACUGCAGUGGACGUGGCUGGGCCGGGCUGAGCUGCAGUUUGGGAACCAGACACUGCAUGUGUCUACCGUGCAGAUGUGGCUGCUGCUGAAAUUCAAUCAGACAGAGGAGGUGUCAGUAGAGACCUUGCUGAAGGAUUCUGACCUCUCCCCAGAGCUGCUGCUCCAGGCACUUGUGCCCCUCACCUCGGGGAAUGGCCCUUUGACCCUGCAUGAGGGCCAGGACUUUCCACACAGGGGUGUGCUGCAGCUUCAUGAGCCUGGGCCCCAGCGCAGUGGGGAGGCCCUGUGGCUGAUACCUUCCCAGGCAUACCUGAACGUAGAGAAGGAUGAGGGCCGAACCCUGGAACAGAAGAGGAAUCUCUUGAGCUGUCUUCUUGUUCGUAUUCUCAAAGCCCAUGGGGAAAAGGGCCUCCACAUUGAUCAGCUGGUUUGUCUGGUGCUGGAGGCCUGGCAGAAGGGUCCAAAUCCUCCUGGAACCCUGGGCCACACUGUUGCUGGGGGUGUGGCCUGUACCAGUACAGAUGUCCUCUCUUGCAUCCUGCACCUCUUAGGCCAGGGCUACGUGAAACGGCGUGAUGACCGGCCCCAGAUCCUGAUGUAUGCUGCUCCAGAGCCCAUGGGGCCCUGCCGGGGUCAGGCAGAUGUCCCUUUCUGUGGCAGCCAGAGCAAAACCUCCAAGCCUAGCCCAGAAGCUGUGGCUACCCUGGCAUCUCUACAGUUGCCUGCAGGCCGCACCAUGAGCCCCCAGGAAGUAGAAGGGUUGAUGAAGCAGACGGUGUGUCAGGUGCAGGAGACGCUGAACUUAGAGCCAGAUGUCGCUCAGCACCUUUUGGCUCAUUCCCACUGGGGCGCUGAACAGCUGCUGCAGAGCUACAGUGAGGACCCUGAGCCACUGCUGCUGGCAGCUGGGCUGUGCGUACCCCAGGCCCAGGCUGUACCCGCACGGCCUGACCACUGCCCCGUCUGUGUGAGCCCCCUGGGGUGUGACGACGACCUGCCCUCUCUCUGCUGCAUGCACUAUUGCUGUAAGUCUUGCUGGAAUGAGUACCUGACAACUCGGAUCGAGCAGAACCUUGUUUUGAAUUGCACCUGCCCCAUUGCCGACUGCCCUGCCCAGCCCACUGGAGCCUUCAUUCGUGCCAUCGUCUCCUCACCAGAGGUCAUCUCCAAGUAUGAGAAGGCGCUCCUGCGUGGCUAUGUGGAGAGCUGCUCCAACCUGACCUGGUGCACCAACCCCCAGGGCUGCGACCGCAUCUUGUGCCGCCAGGGCCUGGGCUGUGGGACCACCUGCUCCAAGUGUGGCUGGGCCUCUUGCUUCAACUGUAGUUUCCCUGAGGCACACUACCCUGCUAGCUGUGGCCAUAUGUCUCAGUGGGUCGAUGACGGUGGCUACUACGACGGCAUGAGCGUGGAGGCGCAGAGCAAGCACCUGGCCAAGCUCAUCUCCAAGCGCUGUCCCAGCUGUCAGGCUCCCAUCGAGAAGAACGAGGGGUGCCUGCACAUGACCUGUGCCAAAUGUAACCAUGGAUUCUGCUGGCGCUGCCUCAAGUCCUGGAAGCCAAAUCACAAAGACUAUUACAACUGCUCUGCCAUGGUAAGCAAGGCAGCUCGCCAGGAGAAGCGGUUUCAGGACUAUAAUGAGAGGUGCACUUUCCAUCACCAGGCGCGGGAGUUUGCCGUGAACUUGCGGAACCGGGUGUCGGCCAUCCAUGAAGUGCCACCGCCCAGAUCCUUCACCUUCCUCAAUGAUGCCUGCCAGGGACUGGAGCAGGCUCGGAAGGUGCUGGCCUACGCCUGCGUGUACAGCUUCUACAGCCAGGACGCGGAGUACAUGGAUGUGGUGGAGCAGCAGACAGAGAACCUGGAGCUGCACACCAAUGCCCUGCAGAUCCUCCUGGAGGAGACCCUGCUGCGGUGCAGAGACCUGGCCUCCUCCCUGCGCCUCCUGCGGGCCGACUGCCUCAGCACGGGCAUAGAGCUGCUCCGGCGGAUCCAGGAGAGGCUGCUUGCCAUCCUGCAGCAUUCCGCCCAGGAUUUCCGGGUUGGUCUUCAGAGUCCAUCAGUAGAGGCCUGGGAGGCAAAAGGACCCAACAUGCCCGGCAGUCAGCCCCAGGCCUCCUCAGGGCCAGAGGUGGAAGAGGAGGAGGAAGACGAUGAGGAUGAUGUGCCCGAGUGGCAGCAGGAUGAGUUUGAUGAGGAGCUGGACAAUGACAGCUUCUCCUACGAUGAGUCUGAGAACCUGGACCAAGAGACUUUCUUCUUUGGUGAUGAGGAGGAGGAUGAAGAUGAGGCCUAUGACUGAGGGGGCAGAUGCAGGAAACACCUAGAGCAGCCCCAGAGUCACAGGGCUGAGGGGGCGGGAGCUGCCCCUGUCAUGGGGAGGGGGAUUCCCAGCAUCUGUAGUGCCUCCUGUUUGCUGAAUAAAGGUCUCUUUCUCACACACG